rnacentral:lncRNA from 1 species
GAGCAGCAAGCUGAGCGCGGCGUGGGGAGCACGAACGGCGCGGGGGACUCCGGCGGCGCCGGGUUCCCGCGAUUCCUGCUUGCGGCUCAGCGAAGCAGCCUCCGGCGGUGACGAACACAGCGACAGCGUCCGGGAGAUGCGGCGGGUCUCCCCGGGGACCGGAGUCCUGGCCUCUUUCUCAGCCAUAUAUAAUCUCAUACUUUGAUGAAUAAUUCCUUCAGCUCAAUGGAUAAGAGAAACCAGGCAAAACUUCACCCUCAAAGUAAGUUAUUGGCCUAAUUUAUACACCAAAUCUCUUUUUAGAGUUCCAUAAUUGUUUUUUAAUCAGGCACAUUAGUUAAAUUCCAAGCAUCAACAAAAAGAAUUAAAUACCCAUAGUUAAGUGCUUUUCAAAUUAAAUAUUGCCAGGGUCUGAAGUUUUGUAUUUUCUAGUAAACAGCACCAGUCAUCUGCCUCAGUCAUUGAGUGGUAUAAUGCCUCCAAGGCACAGGAAGAUGAUUGGGUUUUGGUGAGCAGUUAUAGAAGGCCAGUCUGCUCAGGACAAAGACAUAGUACAAAAUAUAUUUGAUCUGCACUUACAAUUUAUGUGCCAUUGUCUUGUGAUUGAAGUACUGUGCUAAAGAUUCUGGGUCUGUGAUCAAUUAGUAAUGUCUGC